rnacentral:rRNA from 1 species
AGCGAACGCUGGCGGCAGGCCCAACACAUGCAAGUCGAACGAAGUCUUCGGACUUAGUGGCGGACGGGUGAGUAACACGUGGGAACGUACCUUUUGGUUCGGAACAACUCAGGGAAACUUGAGCUAAUACCGGAUGAGCCCUUAGGGGGAAAGAUUUAUCGCCGAAAGAGCGGCCCGCGUUAGAUUAGCUAGUUGGUGAGGUUAAGGCUCACCAAGGCUACGAUCUAUAGCUGGUCUGAGAGGAUGAUCAGCCACACUGGGACUGAGACACGGCCCAGACUCCUACGGGAGGCAGCAGUGGGGAAUCUUGCGCAAUGGGCGAAAGCCUGACGCAGCCAUGCCGCGUGAAUGAUGAAGGUCUUAGGAUUGUAAAAUUCUUUUACCAGGGACGAUAAUGACGGUACCUGGAGAAAAAGCCCCGGCUAACUUCGUGCCAGCCGCCGCGGUAAAAC